rnacentral:lncRNA from 1 species
GUGGAAGACAAGUACAAAGCCAGGGUGAAGGCAGUGCAGUGAGAAGAUCUAGAGAGAGCAGGAGAAUGCAGUGAGGACGCUUGGCAGCCCACCAGCAUCUCCAAGUAUCAAGCUAAACACUCUGGACGGGCAAAGGCUUAGCAUCCGCUGUGCCGGAAAUGGAACCCAGGGCCGUUCGAACACCGUUAUGCUGAGCCGCAUCGCAGUCUAAUGGCCAUAAUUAAAAAAAAAUGUAAAAGCCA